GGCCUGGUGGCAGAGUGGUUAUGCAGAGGACUGCAAAUCCUUCUAUGCCGGUUCGAUUCCGACCCAGGCCUCCA
rnacentral:tRNA from 1 species